CACUCCAGUAGCUUAGUGGUUAGAGUGUCUGCCUCAGAUAUAUGAAGUCGUGGGUUCAAUCCCCGGUUGAGUCA